UUAAAGACCUCUAAGGAAGGAGACUCCACUACACGCCAAGGGAGUUUGUUCCACUGUUGAACAGCUCUUACUGUCAGGAAGUUCUUCCUAAUGUUGAGGUGGUCUAGAAUGUGUGUCUGGCUAUGUCUGAGCUCCUUUUUCCACUGUAUGACUGUAUAACGCUGUAUACAUUUCUAGCACUGUAUUGCAAAGAAUGAGACUUUGAAACUCACGCACAGCUAAGAAAUCUUCUAUUGGCUACACUCAGUCGACUUGGUCGCUUUGCCUGCCCCUUUUCUUUGGAUGACUGAAAUGUAUUUCUAAAUGCAGUGAUGAGUGUACAUCAAUGCUAGAAAUGUGGAGACUGAAAGAAAAUGUCUUUAGAUGGGCAGAAUUCCUAUCUGGGAAGCUAAUUCUGCCAUUUUGCCACCACCAUCCCAACCAAUGUUCAGAGGUGAAAUAUUGGGAAAUCUGCUAUGUCUAACCCAUUUCCACAGUAAUAUGGAAAGCUAAACCCUCACUGGAGUUCCCAAUCCAUAUGAAUCCAUUUGCCUCAGUUAUUGAUUUCCUUCUUCCAUGUUCUGCCCUCUCCUUCUUCUCAGCAGUAAUGCACAGCGGUUUUGUCCAAGAGCCAGCACCAUACUUAAGAGUUCCUUAUCGAAAGAAGCAGAACAGAGUGCCUUGUUUUAUAAGGUAAGCAUUAAGCCAAAAAAAGAUUCGGCAGGAUCCAUUAAGUACCAUAGGAAGAGGAAAGCAAAAGGUGCGGAAAAGACUGACACUGCAGCAAAGGAGAAAGAGCAGGAUACCCCCAGCUAAUCACAGAAUCAAAAAAGGAGAAGGAAAAGAAGCCAGGAAAACUAAAAGAGAACCUGGAGUUACAGAACGGCAAAAGAAAGGCGAGCAGACCUACGUUAUGAGCAAUCCUUACUAUGGGAAAAUUGAAGGCAAUGCCUUUGCCUCUCUGAAUCCACCUCCCUACUCUGAAGAAGAGCCUUAUCCACUAGAACCUUCUGCUAGGGCACUGCCAACUCUGGGCUAUGAAGCCAUUCCCUCUAUGCCAUCCGAAUACCAACCUUAUUAUGGUUUACCCAACGAAGGAUACAACCCCGGAGCAGUCCUUUGUCCUUCGCGGACCAUCUUCAUCGCAACUGUCCUGCCUCCCUCUGUACCUGACUACUUGGGCUACUCCAUCUUUACCAUGGUUUGUUGUUUUCUACCCCUAGGAUUUGCUGCCGUCAUUUACUCUAAAAUGACCCAAGAAGCCAACCACAGAGGCGAUGGCGCAGCUGCUCAGCGAAACUCCAGGCUGGCAUUAAUUCUGGGCAACACAGCAUUUGGCAUAGGGCUUGUACUCUGGACUGUAUCUAUCACAAUAGUUCUGUGGUGAUCCUUGAUGACCAGUCAAUCAACCUUCAAGAACAAAACAAACUCAUUUUGUUUUGCAUUCAUGAGGUUCAGAUGCUAAGAAAUCUUCCCAUGUCAGAGACAACCUACCUGCUUUCUGGAUCACACUAUGAAGGGAUAUGCUAUGCUAUGGGAUGCAUCGCCUCUGUAUCAAGACUUUGUGAUCCAUUCUGACAUGACACCCAGCUGUGGAAUAUAUGAACCUCAAAGCAUUUUGAUUUGCAGCAGCAUCAACUGAUUGGAUGAAAGUCCCAUCCAGUGACAGAUUUGCAAUAAUCUAUCAAAUCCAGGGGUGAACAUCAGUUGUAAUCUACCUCUACGAUACACAAACAGGAGGCAUGUAAAUUGAUCAGUGUUGGUGUGGUUUAGUGAUUAGAACUAGGACUGGACCUUGUUUAAUCCAAAUUCUAGUCCCCAUUGAGCCAUGAAGCUCACUGAGUGACCUUAGCCAUUCCCUUUUAACUGAACCUACCUCACAAGGUUGUGGUAAAGAUAAAAGUGGAGAGCAGAGUCAUGGACAGAAUCCUGUUGAGGUCUUACAUCUUUGUAAGUGACCUUAUGUAUGCAGGAAUUAGAAUCAUGCAUUUGCAUAAGGGCUGCUGUUAUAUUACUAUGAAACAGAGCCAGCAAAGGGUUUGAUGCAUUGGUACUCAAUGCACAAUAGGACUCAUGCUAUUUGUCUUGAUGUGCAUUGCAUCAGUCUUGAUGAGCCUUGGGCACCAAGGCAGAUCAACUCCUCUUGCUGAUGUCCUGACACAUACCUUCACAACUCAGUAAAGGGGUUUCUUAGCACCUCUGCAAUGUAGCUAGGUAUACAUAAAAGUAACAUAAUGGGUUGUAAUAUAAUGGGUCAUAUAGAAUUCUGGUGAAAGUGUAUUCCUUUGGAGGAAGUGUGAGGGGUAAAGACAACAAUGAUCAUAAUUAGAAACAUUUGAUAGUUGGACAAUGUCUGUGGCUGCAUCUGCACUGCAGAAUUAAUGCUGUUUGACACUGCUUUAACUGUCAUGGCUCCAUCCUAUGGAAUCCUGGGGCUUGUAGUUUGUCGUGGCACCAGACCUCUCUGACAGAGAAGGCUAACUAUUUCACAAAACUACAAAUCUCAGGACACCAUCAGAUGGAGACAUCCCCAUUAAAGCAGUGUCAAACUGCAUUAAUUCUAUUGUAUGGAUAAAUUCCAAAUUUCAUGACGCCCUUAAAACCAUGCCAUGACUUUGCAUCACCUCCUUCCAAGUGCACCAAGCAACCAGAUGUCCUUUCAAUUCUAGAGUCUUCCUCAGCCAUGUUACCUUCCUCUUAUUCUCUGCACCUGUCCUUUGUCUGAUCUCCUAAGAAGACUUCCAUACCUCCUUUGGUGUGCUACCCAUGUAAGAAAACCUUUCACCAAUAAAAACUGGGAAAGGAAACACCCCAGUUCUUACAUAUCAAAUUACUUCCCAUGCUUUGCCGCAUCUCACUAGAGAAUGCUGUACUUCUGGAGUGGCAAAUAUGUAGCCCUCCAGAUACCUUUGGAUUGAAAUUCCCAGCAGCCCUAGCCAGCAGAACCCAUGUCAAGCAUCUCAUGGCCGUAUGUUACCUGUCCCUGGUGUACUUGCUGUAUACAUUUCACCUGCUCUGUGCGACUUAAUCUCCUCUUUGAGCAAAACACAUAAAGGUUCUCCUCUUUAUCACUG